rnacentral:lncRNA from 1 species
CUCUGCUCCCCAGCAUCUGUUUGUUGCAUCUGGGGAGAAAGAUAAAUUCUCUUUUUUUAUGCCACUGAACCAAAUUUAAGAGACAGACAAACAAACAGGUCUCAGUAGAAGAGGACAGCAUCGCAUCCACAGUCCAGCUGUCCUCUUUCCCAGGCCCUGUGUGGGUGCCUUGUAGUCCGUUGAAUUUGCCAGCCCAUCAGGGAUGAGGGUGCCAGAGACUGGCUGAUCGGGCUUAGGGAGGUGCUCCCCCCAGAGUGGGGACCUGGGGGCUGGUGGCCAUAAGCACAAGCUUUGAAGAGGCUGCUUUGUAAACUUUGUAAAAAAUUCACAUCAUUUACAUUUCUCAGACUUAAAGAAUUGUGCCUGGUCACCCAGAGACAUGAUUAUACAUCACCGAACUUCAUUAUAAUAAUGGCCCUGGUACUCCAACUUCUUGAAAGCCUCAGCUGUUCGAUUCAGCCUCUUCAGCUCCAUAACUGUUUAUAAGAUUAAUAGACUCUGAUGCAUAAUUGACUCUCCCACCAGGAGGAAAAAAAAGAGAGACAGUCUAAUCGUAGCCCUGAAAAAGUAACAUUCCCAUAAAGAGAUGGUGUCUGUCCACAUUGACAGGGUCAGGGAUAGAGGAGUGUGGCUAGCACCACCAAGUCAGGAGAGAAGGGGAGACGCAUGAGGAGUCAGCCCAGGGAAGGGAGUCUCAGAAAGUCGAUGGGACAUGUCUUAUCAUUUAGAGGCUUCAGUGGACACCCUAAAAAAUUGGCUUUAUUGCAGAACUGGAUGGGAUUCAAUUCUACAGCAGGGAGCAAGGGAGCAUAGAAAGGGAAUCCACAGAGCAGUAGGAUGGGGUUAGGGCUUGACAUCUGGUGACAGGGAGCUUAGAGAGAGAACGAGUGCCCUGGCCCCCCUUUCCCUUGCUGAGGUUAUGAGUCACAGUGUGUCACACCAGGUCCUGUAGGAGACCAGACACAUGCUAGGAAUGAUGGCAGGGCAGGCCUUUCUCAAGGCAGAGGAGCAAGGGCAUCACCUCGCAGGCUGGAGGCAAUGGAGGCCUUGAGAGAGUGCGUGGCGGGGAAGCCACUGCCACACAGGGGUAGGGCAGUAGCCCGGGUUCAGAGGCUGGGUGGGCUCCAGAAGGCUUGGAGAGGGGACAGAGCUGGACCGAGGCACUCGGUGGGCCUGAUGACUCGAAUAAAGGAGUGAGUCUAACCAAAAGGUGGAAACGAGAAGUCUAGUGUUCGAUGCUAGCUUGUCUUUCUCUUGAUCUCCUAUACCUGCCCCUCUUCUCAGGGCUUAUUUUACUCUUCCAGAAAAAGACCAGGCAUCUUGCAAUCUUCCUGGCAGAGCAAGAUGAGAGAAGAUUGACAUGGAGACAGGGUCUUAUUUUCUACUCUGUAUAGUGAGAGAUCCUCACCUAAAAGACCUCACCCUGUUGUUAGAGGGAAGAGAAAUGUGGGUUAAUCUUUCAUUGUCAUCAGAUUUGUGCUUCUUCCUCUUUACUUAAGUAACUGCUUUAGCUGGACCUCCGCAGCAUCUGCUGCUGCUUCUCCAGCUCCUGGAAAACCCCAAGGGGGUUGCAAAGAUAAGUCUUAACUCUGCCUCUGUUUUCCUUUCAGCUGACCACCAAAUGACCCCAGAGUGAAGAAGGCACAUCAGGCUCCUAUUAAUGUGGCCACAGAUUCACACAUUUGCUUGAUGAAAGCCUGGUGCAAAGGAAUAGAGUCUUAUUGUGGACUUGUAAACCUCCUAGUCAUUUAGAUGUGAACUCACGCUUUUGCUCUUCUCUGGGAAACACAGCACAUUUUUUCAAAGCGCAUCUUGCAUCAUGGAUUGAAAGGCUAAGACCUUACCAUUAGAUCUAGCAUAAAGCCCUCACCCAUGCCGUGUAACUCUACAUUUACUCCUUCCUUCCAUCUUCAGGGGAAAAGAAGCAGGGGCUGAUAAAACAAGCAGAGAAGGCCCAGGGGAUGGACAGGUUAUCUCUGCUUUUCUUCAAGAAGAGAAAUUUCUGAAUUCCCUAUCAUAUCUUCACUUUGAUCAAGGGGAAAGGAAGAAAAGAAAACUCUUAAGUACCUAAAAUUGGUCCAAAAAUAAAGAAUUCUUCUCAUUUUUCCAUUUAAUGAUUUUGUUCCUGAAACCUAUGGGUGAUUCU